ACUGAGAGUUUGAUCUUGGCUCAGGAUGAACGCUGGCGGCGUGCCUAACACAUGCAAGUCAAACGGGUGUAGCAAUACACUAGUGGCGGACGGGUGAGUAACACGUAAGCGACCUACCCAUAAGACUGGCAUAACCUGCCGAAAGGUGGGCUAAUUCCAGAUAGUAUUCCAACGCAAGUUGGAAUUAAAUCCCGCAAGGGGCUUGUGGAUGGGCUUGCGUCCUAUCAGCUAGUUGGUGAGGUAACGGCUCACCAAGGCAAAGACGGGUAGCUGGUCUGAGAGGACGACCAGUCACACUGGAACUGAGAUACGGUCCAGACUCCUACGGGAGGCAGCAGUGAGGAAUUUUCCACAAUGGGCGAAAGCCUGAUGGAGCGACGCCGUGUGAGCGAUGAAGUCUUUCGGGAUGUAAAGCUCUGUCAGAGGGGACGAUAUUGACGGUACCCUCAGAGGAAGCCCCGGCUAACUACGUGCCAGCAGCCGCGGUAAUACGUAGGGGGCGAGCGUUAUCCGGAAUUACUGGGCGUAAAGCGCGCGUAGGCGGUGUGAUAAGUCGGGUGUAAAAGGUUAAAGCUCAACUUUAAUAUGCAUUCGAUACUGUCACGCUAGAGAGAUGCAGAGGAAAGCGGAACUUACGGUGUAGCGGUGAAAUGCGUAGAUAUCGUAAGGAACACCAAUGGCGAAGGCAGCUUUCUGGGCAUUUUCUGACGCUCAAGUGCGAAAGCUAGGGGAGCAAACGGGAUUAGAUACCCCGGUAGUCCUAGCCCUAAACGAUGGUCAUUAGGUGUUUGUGGUAUCGACCCCACGAGUGCCGCAGCUAACGCGUUAAAUGACCCGCCUGGGGAGUACAGCCGCAAGGUUAAAACUCAAAAGAAUUGACGGGGGCCCGCACAAGCGGUGGAGCAUGUGGUUCAAUUCGAUGCUACGCGAACAACCUUACCUGGGUUUGACAUGCUGGUAGUAAGAUUCUGAAAGGAUGAUGAUCCCGAGCAAUCGGGAAGCCAGCACAGGUGCUGCAUGGCUGUCGUCAGCUCGUGUCGUGAGAUGUUGGGUUAAGUCCCGCAACGAGCGUAACCCUUAUUGCCAGUUGUCACGGUGAAAGCCGUGACCCUCUGGCGAAACUGCCUCGGAUAACGGGGAGGAAGGUGGGGAUGAGGUCAAGUCAUCAUGGCCCUUAUGCCCAGGGCAACACACGUGCUACAAUGGUACAUACAAAGGGGAGCAAUACGGCGACGUGGAGCUAAUCCCAAAAAGUGUACCUCAGUUCGGAUUGAAGGCUGCAAUUCGCCUCCAUGAAGCUGGAAUCGCUAGUAACUGCAGAUCAGCGUGCUGCGGUGAAUACGUUCUCGGGCCUUGUACACACCGCCCGUCACACCAUGAGAGUCAGGAACGCCCAAAGCUUCCCCGAUUUAUCGGGGGAAUUAAGGCGGUACUGAUGAUUGGGGUGAAGUCGUAACAAGGUAGCCGUACCGGAAGGUGUGGCUGGAUCACCUCCUUUCUAAGGA
rnacentral:rRNA from 3 species